rnacentral:hammerhead_ribozyme from 1 species
AUUUAGCUGAUGAGUCUCAAAUAAGACGAGAUAUGUGUCCUGGAU